CCUGGAGCUGGAGAGAGCAAACGCAACAUUAGUACAAAGCUGCGUCCAAGUAUUUUGGAGCAGGAACUCACCUUCUACCGAAAUCUACAAACAGACUGAAUGCAGAAUCUGUAGACAAGGAACCAAGAAAGAUUUCAUUGGAAGUGUUCUGGUUUCCGAUUGUAAGUAAGUAAUAUUGACCAAUCAUGUUUGAGUAAGCUUUGGUUGCAUCGGCCAUCGGCUAGUGACAGCAUUUGUGUUUAUAGAGAUUAUCUGAAAUGUGUCUUUCUGGUCAUUCUCGUGUAUCAAUCUCACAUUUCUAAUUGAACGGCAGAGGAAGUCUUGGCCUGGAUAUCCUUUUUCCGGCUGGCCAGAAAUACCAAAGCAUCGCGCCCGGAGACUAAAUCGUCAACAGCUGGUGUGCUGCAUUUUUGCAACAGGAAGUUAUCGUCAAGGAUGUGGAGGCGGCUGGUGUCACUAUUACCUGAUCUGUGGAGGCGGCAGGUGGUUCAGAAACCCCUCUGUAGUUGCAAGAAGAAAACCACAAAACGACUAGCAUCAUCGAGCUGAGCAAACCAUGCAACAUGUUUUACAAUUGAGCAGAAUCCAAAAUAAGUAUGAUGUGGUUUGAUGGGGGGACUUUUACUUUUUACUCCACUAUUAUCAUCAACCAGCCGUAGCUGCUGGUUACUUUCCAUAUUAUUUUACAUAUAAUAUGAGAUAUAGACCAGCUCUAUGUAAAGUAGUUAAAAGAAGCUCCACCUGGACCAGCUACAUUGCGACGUCACCCGUUGGCUUGGCGUAUUGGUCGUUGCUGUGACGGUUUGUCGGAGGCGACGUACCGUGAGUUGAUCCGCUCUCAUUGGCUGCGCAGUUUCAACUUGUCCGUAGCAGGAAACAAUGGCUAAAAUAUGUUUCUGAUGGAUUUGAAGAGAGAAAUAGUCAACGCGGUAACAGAAUCUGGAUCCAUAUUUGAUCAGCACUGCCUAGUUUGACAGUUUGAUCUGAGUUUCAAGUUUCACAAGGUAGCUCCGCCCUAAUGCAUACCCUGCUUUAUGGUCUGUUUUACUCUAAAUGAGACCAUCAUUUACUAAAUGAACAUCAUGCUGUAUGGAAGAAGACUUGAAACUAGUGAUUGAGACCAUAAACUCAUUAGGAAACUGUUUACUGAGCUCAUAAAUCAACUGAGAAGUCGACUCAUUUCCUCAUUAGACUCAAUACACUUCGGCGUUGGAUUCACUUCACAGACCCAGAAGCUCUGUUCAUAAUAUAAACUGUAAAUGGUCCUGACCAAACAGCUACAUAGCAAUUUUACUCUUCAGUUUUUGUAUGGAUUAACAAAAACAAGAUACAGAAGCUUUGUAAAAGUUAAUAUUGGGUAAAUGUUGUAUAACCUCACAGGUAAAACCAACAGACACCAUCAUUUAAUAUGCAUACACGUCAUUAACCUGCACUUAAUAAAGCAUUAAUAUUAUAA